rnacentral:rRNA from 1 species
UCCGCUAGUAGUGGCGAGCGAACGCGGAAGAGGCCAAACCGGAGGUAGCAAUAUUUCCGGGGUUAGGACUGCAACAUGUAACUUUAAUCUUUAACUGAAUGCUUUGGGAAGAGCAGCGAAACAGGGUGACAGCCCCGUAAGUGAAAGAGAUUGAGUGCUAGCAGUAUCCAGAGUACCAGCGGACACGUGAAACCCGCUGGGAAGAUGGGGGGACCAUCCUCCAAGCCUAAAUACUACUCAGUGACCGAUAGUGGAGCAGUACCGUGAGGGAAAGGUGAAAAGUACCCCGGGAGGGGAGUGAAAGAGAACCUGAAACCUUGUGCCUACAAGCACCGAGAGCACGUUAAAGUGUGAUCGGGUACUUUUUGUAGAACGGUCCGGCGAGUUAAUAUUUGCAGCGAGGUUAAGUAACUGGAGUUACGGAGCCGCAGCGAGAGCGAGUCUGAAUAGGGCGUAUGAAGUUGCAGGUAUUAGACCCGAAACCGGGUGACCUAUCCAUGAGCAGGCUGAAGCGGUGGUAAGACACCGUGGAGGGCCGCACCCACGUCUGUUGAAAAAGCCGGGGAUGACUUGUGGAUAGCGGAGAAAUUCCAAUCGAACUCGGAGAUAGCUGGUUCUCCCCGAAAUAGCUUUAGGGCUAGCGUUAUUUUAGAUUACCGGAGGUAAAGCACUGAAUGGUCUAGGGGCCGCGAGGUUACCAAAGCCUAUCAAACUCUGAAUGCCGGAUAAUUGAUGAAUAGCAGUCAGACUGUGUGAGAUAAGUCUCAUAGUCAAAAGGGAAACAGCCCAGAUCUACAGCUAAGGUCCCAAAUGAACACUAAGUGGAAAAUGAUGUGAAACUGCGAAGACAACCAGGAUGUUGGCUUAGAAGCAGCCACUCAUUCAAAGAGUGCGUAAUAGCUCACUGGUCGAGUGGUUUUGCGCAGAAAAUGUAACGGGGCUAAGUGUUCAACCGAAGCUUAGGCAUUGCAGUAAUGCAUUGGGUAGGGGAGCGUCGUAUGCGGGGCGAAGUCAGAGCGGAAGCACUGGUGGACUGCAUACGAGUGAGAAUGCCGGAAUAAGUAGCGAGAAUUAUGUGAGAAUCAUAAUGGCCGAAAAUCUAAGGUUUCCUGGGGAAGGUUCGUCCGCCCAAGGUUAGUCGGGAGCUAAGGCGAGGCCGAAAGGCGUAGUCGAUGCACAUACGGUAGAAAUUCCGUAACCACCGAACUUUAAGCUAGAGGGACGCUUUCUUCAAGGUUAUCCCGGGCGAUGGUUGCCCCGGGCGUAAGGGACCGAAAUUUAGUAGGGAAGUAACUGGCGAGAGAGACGAGAAAAGCUCUAGUGUAUACUAAGGUGCCCGUACCGCAAACCGACACAGGUAGAAGGGAUGAGUAUUCUAAGGCCAACGGGAGAAGGGUUGUUAAGGAACUCGGCAAAUUGGCCCCGUAACUUCGGGAUAAGGGGCGCCUGCGAGAGCAGGCCGCAGUGAAAAGGCCCAAGCGACUGUUUAGCAAAAACACAGCUCUCUGCUAAAUCGAAAGAUGACGUAUAGGGGGUGACGCCUGCCCGGUGCUGGAAGGUUAAGGGGAGUGCUUAGCGCAAGCGAAGGUGCGAACUUAAGCCCCAGUAAACGGCGGCCGUAACUAUAACGGUCCUAAGGUAGCGAAAUUCCUUGUCAGGUAAGUUCUGACCCGCACGAAUGGCGUAACGAUUUGGGCACUGUCUCAACAGCCCGCCCGGCGAAAUUGUAGUACCGGUGAAGAUGCCGGUUUCCCGCAACUAGACGGAAAGACCCCAUGGAGCUUCACUGUAGCUUGAUAUUGGACUUCGGUAUUCCAUGUACAGGAUAGGUGGGAGGCUAGGAAGCGAGCGCGCCAGCGUUCGUGGAGCCGUCCUUGGGAUACCACUCUUGGGAUAUUGGAGUUCUAACCUGCGACCAUGAAUCUGGUCGGGGGACAUUGUCAGGUGGGCAGUUUGACUGGGGC